rnacentral:rRNA from 1 species
CCUACGGGAGGCAGCAGUGGGGAAUAUUGGACAAUGGGCGCAAGCCUGAUCCAGCAAUUCCGCGUGGGUGAAGAAGGUCUUCGGAUUGUAAAGCCCUUUCGUUGGGGACGAUGAUGACGGUACCCAAAGAAGAAGCCCCGGCUAACUUCGUGCCAGCAGCCGCGGUAAUACGAAGGGGGCUAGCGUUGCUCGGAAUGACUGGGCGUAAAGGGCGCGUAGGCGGCACAACUCGUCAGGCGUGAAAUUCCUGGGCUUAACCUGGGGGCUGCGUUUGAUACGGUUGGGCUAGAGGAUGGAAGAGGCUCGUGGAAUUCCCAGUGUAGAGGUGAAAUUCGUAGAUAUUGGGAAGAACACCGGUGGCGAAGGCGGCGAGCUGGUCCAUUACUGACGCUGAGGCGCGAAAGCGUGGGGAGCAAACAGGAUUAGAUACCCUGGUAGUCCACGCUGUAAACGAUGUGCGCUGGAUGUUGGGUAACUUAGUUACUCAGUGUCGUAGCUAACGCGAUAAGCGCACCGCCUGGGGAGUACGGCCGCAAGGUUGAAACUCAAAUGAAUUGACGG